rnacentral:lncRNA from 10 species
AUCAGCAGUUGUGUGAUCCUGGUGAAUUUCUUUGCCACGAUCACGUGACUUGUGUCUCCCAGAGCUGGCUGUGUGAUGGGGACCCUGACUGCCCUGAUGAUUCAGACGAGUCUUUAGAUACCUUUUGUUUUGAAAACCUUUAAAAGGGAGGAAGAAAACAAAAUCUCUCAGCUUACAGUCUGUACGGUAAUAGGCCACAGGUCAGAUUUGGCCAGCAGGCUAUAUAAUUUGCCAAAUCUUUGUUGUAGUAGCGUAGCUGAAAUAUAUCUGCUAUACAGUUGAGGCAGGUCUGUGCUCAGGCACUGCUGCUCCAUGGAACAGCAUAACCUCACACAAUGAAUGCACGAAGCACAGAGUUUUGUUUGCAUCUACCAGUCAUGGUGCCAGACUGAUGCAAUAUGGUGUAGUCUACAUAUGCUGGGUUUUGUUUCCUUCUAUUUUUUCAUACUUCCUUAUUGGUUAGGAUUGCAUUUGACUGCAUGUUAUAGAAACAGUGACUUAACUGAAUAGGGGU